CUCCCUCGGGCGACUGGGCUGGAGGAGCCCGGCCAGCGGGCGCCAGGCCCUCCGCGUCCUGGCCCGAACUGCAGGCUUGAAAGAGGGGUGCCAGGACAGUCACCUUCCUCCACCAGCUGAACCCUGGAGUAAACUAUCAAAUGCUGACUGUGGGAAGAAGCGGAAUCAGGCCUACUUGCACUGCGGCUCUGCAGCGGCCCGCACUCAACCAUACACCUCAGCCAACAAAGCCGCCGCCUGGGUCGGCGCGUCCAGGACCUGUGCCCCACGCUGGAACGCGAGCUUCUGCCACAGAGGCCAGAGCCGGUUCCAGACGUGAGAACCGAAUGAAUGAAGUGCUGCGUGGGCGACGGAAGGAAUAAAUGCACCGUACUAGUGGGAAGCCCCAAGUGGGCCGAGCCGGAGGAAACCCGCCGCCCGCACCAGUUCCCGGAGGCUGGGGCCGCCCUGCGUGGCGACGGCCGCCCCCAACCCACCCCAAGGUCACGCGGGCGCCCUGCAGCCCCCAGGCCUCUGCAGAGCCUGCACCCCCAGAAGCCCCAACUCCGCAGGCCUCGAGCCCCCAAACCCCACGCGUCCCGACCCCGCGCCACCGAGGCCCAGCAGACGGCCGAACCUGCAGGCCGGCGGGGGUUGGUGGCUGCUGCGCGGGCCGCCCACGUGGCCGCUGAUAACG